rnacentral:rRNA from 1 species
UACGUAGGGGGCAAGCGUUGUCCGGAUUUAUUGGGCGUAAAGAGCGUGUAGGCGGCUUGGCAAGUCCGCUGUGAAAACUCGAGGCUCAACCUCGAGACGUCGGUGGAAACUGCCUCGCUAGAGUCCGGAAGAGGAGAGUGGAAUUCCUCGGUGUAGCGGUGAAAUGCGCAGAUAUCAGGAAGAACACCCGUGGCGAAGGCGGCUCUCUGGGACGGUACUGACGCUGAGACGCGAAAGCGUGGGGAGCGAACAGG